rnacentral:rRNA from 1 species
CCCUUAGAUGUUCUGGGCCGCACGCGCGCUACACUGACGCAUUCAACGAGUCUAAAACCUGGUCUGAUAGGGCUGGGUAAUCUUUUGAAUGUGCGUCGUGAUUGGGAUAAAUGAUUGUAAUUCUUCAUUUUCAACGAGGAAUGCCUAGUAAACGCAAGUCAUCAGCUUGCAUUGAUUACGUCCCUGCCCUUUGUACACACCGCCCGUCGCUCCUACCGAUUGGGUGUGCUGGUGAAAUGUUCGGAUCGGCCGUUUGUCGCGGUUUCCGCGUCAUGUGGCUGAGAAGUUCAUUAAACCCUCCCACCUAGAGGAAGGAGAAGUCGUAACA